UCUCUCUGAAUAUUUCUCCUUUCUCGUGAAAUGCUGCUGCUGGCUUUGUUUGGUGCUUCAAAGCCACAACUGCUAAAACAAAUACUGGCAAGCAAGAAAACAAAACAGAAGAAAAAGAUUAACAAAUGUUUGGCACCAGGCACCAAAAGACCCGUCCAGCUGGCCCACUUCUGUGGCCAAAGGAAAUGACUCUGCAGGUGAGAAUGGAGUUCUGGAUUGAUGCAUGCGGCAUCCCCUGGCCUGCAUUUUGCUGUCAGAGGCCUUCCAGAAAGGCCUCUGCAGCCAAGAACCGAGCUAUGGAUUCAAUCAAUUAAUAGGAGGCCUGGUUGCAAUGGUAAGCGGGUGCAAGGCAUGUGGGGCAGCUCCACCUCCACCCCCACCCUAGCUUGAAUUUUAGGUGUAUGCCUUGCCCCAAAACUAGGGCUUAUUUUUGGGGUAGGGCUUACUUUUGGGGAAACACAUUAACAAAUAGUAUUGAGUUGUCAUAGCUAAAUAGAUUUAUAGGGUAUUUUAUAAAGGAUAGUUUUAAUAAUCAAAAUUAUUAGUGAUGAGAGUUAUAUUUUCUGUCAGCUGCUCAUAUACAACAUAUCAAAGAUUAUGAAAAUAAUAUUCAUAUAGCAAUAGCACUUAGACAUAUACCGCUUCAUAGUGCUUUAUAGCCCUCUCUAAGUGGUUUACAAACUCAGCUUAUUUCCCUCAACAAUCUGGGUCCUUAUUUUACUGACCUCAGAAGGAUGGAAGGCUGAAUCAAUCCUGAGCUGUACAGAAUCAAACUCCUGGAGUGAGCAAUGAGUUAGCCUGCAGUACUGCAUUCUAACCACUGUGCCACCAUGGCUCAGUGUUGCAAAUCAGUAAUCUGAUUCACCAAUAGCCAAAAUUCCUUUUUAGAAAACAUUCUUUAACCUUGGGGGAAAGUUAUCUCUUGAGAAGAGCAAGCAGGAAAAAAAAGGCAAUGCCAAAGGACAGGGGGAAAAAAACACAAGGAUGAAUGAAAGGAUUAUGACUAGCAGACGAAAGUACAAAGACAACAAAAAUAAUUUGGGGGAGGGGGUUAUAGUUGGCUUCAGAUCAAGUAAAGUUAUUUUUACUAAUGGUAAUUACUUCAGCUUGUGGAUAAUGUAAGCUUCUUUAUGUAUUGUAGGAAACCUGUAUGCUCUAAACUUAUUCUCACUGACUUAUUUGCACCCUUGCCUACUAAAAGAAUAUGCCUAAUAAUAAAUGCUGUUUAGAAAGCCAGGGAUCAUGUACCCAACUUGACCAGUAUCUUAAGUCAUAUAUGACCCAGUCACAAAGACUUGACCUCUGUUUAAAAAAAAAAUCCCAGCAACACAGGAGAGAAGAGAUAUUUCUUAGCUAGGAAUUCCUCAGGGGAUUAUAGAUGGAUAACAAAACCGAGCAGAGUUUAUGACUUUAUAGUAGAGAUGACCUAGAGCUUAGAGAAAAUAGUGCAAAUAAAUUUGGGGAAUAAAAGAUAGAAUGUUGGUUAUAAUAAACCAGAAGAAAAAUAUUGGGAGAUCUGGUACUUUCUCUUGUCACCUCUAAUUCUUCCCUUGAUAAUUUCUUCUGUGGUUGUCUGUUUUUGCUAUCAAUCACACUUCACAGCAUUUUCCACCCAAAGCUCUUUCAAUAACUCAAGUCAGCUUGUAAAUGCAUAGCAUCUCUGAUGAACUUUUGACCUCUGGAUAAUUAUUUUAGCUAGUGAGAAUUUACUAUGAUGUGGACAAUCUCUCAAAAUAGAUCACUGGACCCUCUAACACCAUUUUUAAAGACCUUAUCAAAACACUGAGACUUAUUAACUGAAGACCCACUAUUAUCAACAUUAUUAGAUGUCCACUAAGACAUCCCACAUCUCCUAAGGACCACCAUAAUAGCCAUACCCACCCUGGGGCAAAACAGUGUUCAAGAUAAGGAUGGCUGCAAGAAUGUCCACAGCCAGCAGCAAUGUCACUGCCAAGGACACAUGCAUGGCAAUGGUGACUCCCAAAGGCAAAAAGGCUGCCAGGGACAGUAGCCAAGAUAGAUUACUCAAUGACAGCUCCUGCAGUUGCUCACAGUGAAGAAAAGUUUUCAAGGGACCAUCAAGAGAGAGUGCACAGAAAAGAAAUCUUUAAUGGCCCUCAGGAAUCUAUGGAGAUUCUCAGUCAUCCAGGUGAUGCUUGUCCAAAGGUAUUUUCCAAAAGGCAAUUGGACUUUUUUUUUCCUUUGAGGAGAUGUAUUUCAGGCUGUGAUUCCUUAGCCAUGGCAGCUACUGAUAUAUCAGCAGAGGGGAGAACCCAGGGAGGCCAUUUUUCAAAGUAAAUGAAACACUCCUUUGAUAUAAAAGUUUCUGUUUCUAAUCUAAUAAUGACAAAAUUGAAUUCAAAUAUCUCAAAACCAUGUUUAAUACCUACUUUCAUUAUCUUCAAGUUCAAAACUGGAAUUGUUUUUGCUCUCUUCCAUCAAAUAGAAUGAAAAAUUAUGUUUUUUCAUUGCAUCAUCUUUAUCUACUGCACUGAUUGUUUGGAUGAGCUAGAAACAAAAAUCAAUAAACAAUGUGUUUAGUGCCAAAGAUUAUUGCUUGGCUUUUAAUGCAAUGGGUCACAACUGCAGGCAAUAUAUUCUGAUCAAUUAACAAGGUUACAAUUGUGCUUGUCUCCAAAGGGCAGGAAAUGUAUUUACUGUUACUACAAAUUCACAUUAUUUAGCUCAAUCUCUUUUAGGGGUGUUGAUUUUUUUUAAAUGUCCCACAAUUAUGCCACUUGAUUUUGUAUUGAUUGGAAGGAGAUAAGCAGUAAAUUCUUGAGAUAAUGCAGAUUACUUUUGGAACAACAAUGCAAAGGUUAACUAAAGUUUGCAUAAGCAGCAAAGAGGGAGAGGAAAGGGAAAUGAAUAAAGUAUUCUACCCUUUGUUUUUCAAGAUGGAAAGUAUAACUUUCUAUGUUUGAACACAUCCUUCAAUACCAAAAACCUAUUUUCUUCCUGUGCACAAAUCUCAUUGGCAUCACUUAAAUGAUGUAUUACACUAGCUAUGACCCCAAGAUUGUGAAAGGUUCAUGUGCUGAAUUGUCAAUUCUUUGAGAUUGUAAUAGAUUGAUUAUGGGAACACUCAGCUGUGUUUUCAAAGAAGGAAGAUAAUCCCCAUUGACAAACAUAUCAAACUAAAUUACAAUUUGUAAGAAAAAUUAAAAAUAAGCAUGUUUGCAUUAAAAAUGGGAUAAAGUUCACAUCUCAUAAACAUGUCAUAUUACAAUUGCCAUAAUAAGCCAUCAUUUCCAUUGCAAAAAUAAAUAUUUGCUACUAUUGUCAGUAGAUGUUGUUUACCGACUCAUACACUAUUUUGAAAACACUCUUUAAUUUCCCAUUUCACUUCAAUUUUUUAAAACACCCCUUAAUAAUUGAUCAGUUGGCAUUAGAAAAUUUAAUUUGACUUAAACCAGAUAAUGCAUGCAUAUUUCCAUUAAUUUCAAUGUUUUAAAAUUGUUUUCCCUCUUUUUUCCUUAAAAACGAGCAACACCUUGACUUUAUCAUCAUGUCCUAUCAUAAUUAAGAAGUGCACAUUUCUUACUGUGACUGUCAUAAAAGAAAUAUUAUGAUUACAUCAGAGACAUACAUUUAGUUCACCCAUCACCCAUGGAAAAAAUGUCCUUUGGAAUAGCAUAUUUUGCGACCCCAGGCAUUUACGUACUAGUGCCAUGGGGCCGAAUCAGCAAAUUAUAAUUAGACUUACUGUAUGAAUGAAAUUGUUGAUUCAGCCUAACAGGAUUGCAAUAGGUGGCAGUCCAACUUCCUCUCAUGGACGUUCUAAGCAGCAUUUCCUGUUGCUACAGUUGCACGAAUAACAGAGUAACAGAGUCGGAAGGAACCUUAGGGGUCUUCUAGUCCAACACCCUGCUCAAGCAGGAAACCCUAUACCACUUGAGACAAAUGGUUGUCCAAUCUCUUCUUAAAAACCUCCAGUGUUGGAGCACCCACAACUUUUGGAGGCAAGUCAUUCCACUGAUUAAUUGUUCUUCUCUCCUUGAUUAGUUUCCAUCCAUUACGCUAAGGUGACUGACUUUUAAGAUCAUAUUUAGAAUUUUUAAAUUUUAAAGAUGUGAUAAAAGAAACAUUUUAUAUACAAUAUAGGUUUUAUGGUUGGUGCAUGUUUUCCAUACUUUUUUUUCCCUUUGAUAUAUUCCUGUGCCAGCAAGUAAUCCUGCCAUACACACUGAGAAACAAACAUUCAUUGGAUGAAGAUGUGCUAAUCUUUUCUAUGUGCUCAUGUUUUGAUAGUGUUUUACCUAUGAGAAUAUAGAUAGCUGUAGACAAUAAAUGUCAGGCACUGAAGUGUUUUGUCUCCUAUAUCUUAACUGAUCCCAUGAAAGCUUUAUUUCAUAAAGCAAGAUACAGUUAAAUUUAAACAUGCAUUAAAGUAUUUAUUUGUCUAUUUGGUAUGCACAUGUAUUUAUAAAACAUUUGGUACAGAAUUCAGCAAAAUAAAUGAGUUACUAAAAAUAUUAAUUCUGAUGUUGUGGUUGAAUUAAAAGGGAAAAAUCAUCUAGAGAAGAACAUAGUAAGAUAUUUUUGGCACUUUUCUUAUUUCUUAAAGCAGAGGUGGAACCAUAGUUUAUUGGCUGAAUAUGUGAUUUCCAUGCAAAAUACUCCAGAAUCAGUUUCUGGCAUCUCCAAACCGAUCUGGGAAAAAAAAUAUAUCUUCCUGGAAACCUUAGAGAACAGCUGCCAGCCAUUAUUAACUACCUAGGAUUAGAUGGACCACUGGCAGCUUUCCAUGCUCCUAAUUUGGCAUCUAACAGCCAAAGGAAGAAGGAAUUGCUUAGUAAACAGCUGGAUUUCCUUGCAUCUUUCCCCAGAUUUAAAGCUUCUACUAGUAAUAUAAGAAGAAAAAGUAAAUUGUCUGCUUGGUAUCUAAUUGAAAGUAGCUGUCAGGUUUCCUUUUUUGGGUAUUCUGGUGGAAGGGAGAGGAGGCUCCAGGGGACCAUUCUUUACAUGCUUUCACUUUUGCUAUAACUGCAUGGGAAUUAGGGAGGGGGAUCAUUUUUGGAGAUGGAAUAGAUUCCCUCUCAGCCAGUUCCAGCUUGACUCCAAGGUCACUGCACCUUGAGGAGGACCCAUUAUCUAUCCUGUACCUCAGCAUUCUCAAAAAAAAAAAAAAA